rnacentral:tRNA from 1 species
UCCCCCUUAGCUCAGUCGGUAGUAGCGAGCGGCUGUUAACCGCUAGGUCGUCUGUUCGAGUCAGACAGGGGGAG